rnacentral:rRNA from 1 species
UACGGGGGGGGCAAGCGUUGUUCGGAAUUACUGGGCGUAAAGGGCGUGUAGGCGGCCAACUAAGUCCGACGUGAAAUCCCCAGGCUUAACCUGGGAACUGCGUCGGAUACUGGAUGGCUUGGAUUUGGGAGAGGGAUGCGGAAUUCCAGGUGUAGCGGUGAAAUGCGUAGAUAUCUGGAGGAACACCGGUGGCGAAGGCGGCAUCCUGGACCAAUAUUGACGCUGAGGAGCGAAAGCUAGGGGAGCAAACGGG